GGUUCCUAGUGGAAUUCUAUACUUCCGUAAGGAUCCAGUUGUAAUUUUCAGCACAAUCUUACUGCUGCUUUUGCUUUUAUUUACUUAUCAAUAAAAAAAUAUCUUUGCAAUCGGCAAGUUCAAACUUCUAUCGGAAAACAACUAGUUGUUUGAUUCUUUGUGCUUUGAUGCCAGCAACUUGCAGAUCCCCUGGAUUUUCGAUCUUCAAGAUGGUAAUACUGCGGAAUCAGGCCCGUUGGUUCUGAUUGAAAUAUCCAUUGAUAUGCUUUUGUGGGGUGAACAAUUAACCUCUGCAAUGAUUUGAGGGGAGUAAGGGCAUUUUGAGUCAUCAGUUAUUUUUGAUUGACAUGAUUGAGUGGUUAGUAUACAUUUUCUUCCUCUCUUAUGGAAGAUAUUUGUAGGUUUUGAUCGUUACAUUUGUACCCAUCUUUGAGUGUCGCUGAAGGAUACUUUCCUAAAAUGAUGGCAGAUGUAAAACAUAGGUCUAUAUCCUUGAUUUCAAUAGUUUGUACUAUUUAUUUUAAAGUUUUCCACUUGAACAUUCUCUCUU
rnacentral:lncRNA from 1 species